rnacentral:rRNA from 1 species
GUGGGGGAUAUUGCACAAUGGAGGAAACUCUGAUGCAGCGAUGCCGCGUGAGGGAAGAAGGUUUUCGGAUUGUAAACCUCUGUGGAGCGGGACGAUAAUGACGGUACCGCUCAAGGAAGCCACGGCUAACUACGUGCCAGCAGCCGCGGUAAUACGUAGGUGGCGAGCGUUGUCCGGAAUUACUGGGUGUAAAGGGAGUGUAGGCGGGAAUGCAAGUCAGAAGUGAAAACUAUGGGCUUAACCCAUAGCCUGCUUUUGAAACUGUAUUUCUUGAGUGAAGCAGAGGCAAGCGGAAUUCCUAGUGUAGCGGUGAAAUGCGUAGAUAUUAGGAGGAACACCAGUGGCGAAGGCGGCUUGCUGGGCUUUUACUGACGCUGAGGCUCGAAAGCGUGGGGAGCAAACAGGAUUAGAAACCCUAGUAGUCC